rnacentral:tRNA from 6 species
GCGGGUGUUGUGUAAUGGUAAGACCUUAGCCUUCCAAGCUAAAGACACGGGUUCGAUUCCCGUCACCCGCUCCA